rnacentral:rRNA from 1 species
UACGUAGGGGGGCAAGCGUUGUCCGGAAUCAUUGGGCGUAAAGCGCGUGUAGGCGGUUCGGUAAGUCUGCUGUGAAAGUCCAGGGCUCAACCCUGGGAUGCCGGUGGAUACUGUCGAACUAGAGUACGGAAGAGGCGAGUGGAAUUCCCGGUGUAGCGGUGAAAUGCGCAGAUAUCAGGAGGAACACCAGCGGCGAAGGCGGCGCUCUGGGCCGGAACUGACGCUGAGGAGCGAAAGCGUGGGUAGCAAACAGG